rnacentral:rRNA from 1 species
UACGUAGGGUGCAAGCGUUAAUCGGAAUUACUGGGCGUAAAGCGUGCGCAGGCGGUUGUGCAAGACAGAUGUGAAAUCCCCGGGCUCAACCUGGGAACUGCGUUUGUGACUGUAUGACUAGAGUACGGUAGAGAGGGGUGGAAUUCCUGGUGUAGCAGUGAAAUGCGUAGAUAUCAGGAGGAACAUCGAUGGCGAAGGCAGCCCCUUGGACCUGUACUGACGCUCAUGC